rnacentral:rRNA from 1 species
CAGCAGUAGCCGCGGUAAUACGUAGGUGGCAAGCGUUGUCCGGAAUUACUGGGCGUAAAGCGCACGUAGGCGGAUAUUUAAGUCAGGGGUGAAAUCCCAGAGCUCAACUCUGGAACUGCCUUCGAUACUGGGUAUCUUGAGUAUGGAAGAGGUGAGUGGAAUUCCGAGUGUAGUGGUGAAAUUCGUAGAUAUUCGGAGGAACACCAGUGGCGAAGGCGGCACACUGGUCCAUUACUGACGCUGAGGUGCGAAAGCGUGGGGAGCAAACAGGAUUAGAUACCCCUGUAGUCCCUGUCUCUUAUAA